GAUGAACGCUAGCGGCAGGCCUAAUAUAUGCAAGUCGAACGAGAUCCAAGAGCUUGCUUUUGGUGAAAGUGGCGCACGGGUGCGUAACGCGUAUGCAACCUACCUUAAUCAGGGGGAUAGCCUCUCGAAAGAGAGAUUAACACCGCAUAACAUUAUGAUAUGGCAUCAUAUUAUAAUCAAAUAUUUAUAGGAUUAAGAUGGGCAUGCGUGACAUUAGUUAGUUGGUGAGGUAACGGCUCCCCAAGGCUACGAUGUCUAGGGGAUCUGAGAGGAGGACCCCGCGGACUGGGACUGAGACACGGACCAGACUCCUACGGGAGGCAGCAGUAAGGAAGAUUGGUCAAUGGAGGCAACUCUGAACCAGCCUUGCCGCGUGCAGGAAGACGGCCCUAUGGGUUGUAAGCUGCUUUUAUACGGGAAUAAACCUCUCUACGUGUAGGGAGUUGAAUGUACUGUAAGAAUAAGGAUCGGCUAACUCCGUGCCAGCAGCCGCGGUAAAAC
rnacentral:rRNA from 1 species